UUUUUUUUUUUUUUUUUUAGGCUGGUUUCAUAAUAGACCUUGUGUAAUCAAUCUUUCUUUCUGUCCUCAGCAAUGAGAUUUUGAUCUCCUAUCAUCAAACAUCAAUCACACAGGACAGGAGGGCACGGCUCUCUAGGGGCAGGUUUGUCACCAUAUUCCCGUGUUUUGGGUGGUUUUGAGCCAUCACCCACCACUGAUCUGCUCUGGUGGUGCUGUAGCCCAGCCAGGCUCCCCACUCCUGGGGUGAGAGCAUCCAGUGCAGCACCAAGUCUGGCACUCAGCUCCUGCCCCUAAAGGCCACAUUGUCACACUGGGCCAGCCUGGGUUGGGCUCUCUUGCUCAGCUCCUCCCAAGGCCGUGCACAUCUCAUUUAUCAUGGUUGGUGUCUUUGAAAGCCUCAGCAGGGAGAUUGGAAAGCCACUCUCAGUUUCCCGUCCUCCUAAGGUCAGGAGUAUUCCCGGGAAGCGUCACAGACUGGAGAGCCCCAGGAGCUCCCGAAGCUUUGCAAAGACAGGAGCAGCUCCCAGCAGCAGGAUGAGGUGCUGAGCACUGAGAUGCCCCUGGCAUCCCCCCUGCAAGGGGACAGAGCCACAUGCGGCUGGGGCAGGGUGGGGCAGGACACCAGGGGUGCUCUGGGCACUGUGGUGGCUCCUGCCAGGGCACAGGGGGUUGGGGCACACAGCCAAAGCAGAUCUCUGCUGCCUCCUCCCAGGGGUGGGUUUCAGACGUGGGAACUCCUGGGAAGUGAUCCUCACUCGCAGUGAUGGGUGUUUCUGCACCAUCACUCUGAAAGCUGGGUCCUGUCUCUGCAAGGGUUGCAAGUUCCAGAGCAGCUCAUUUGUCACUGACUGUUGGAAUCUGUGGUAUUGAUGAUUCUGAGAUUGUAGAAAGUCUCUGUCUUUCUGCCCCGCUGCCAAAGCAGAAGCCAUAAUUGGUCUGUGCUGGUUUCAAGGUUGUUUAUUCUGUUUAUCUCUAACAUGUUCUGCUGCCCUGCCGCAGCUCUGUCCUGCAGGGCAGCGUGUGGGGCUCUGCCCUCAGUGGGAUGGUACAAACAUUAAAUACCACAAACUACCUGUGCUGGAUUUACAAUAACGUGCCAAUAUCUGUCACCUACGUUGGACAGUGUGUCCCCAGCCUGAACCAACAGAAAAAUGCCAACACCACAGUGAAACAUGGAGGGCAUGAAGAAGGAGAAAAAGGACAAGACACACCCAAUUUCCUCCAUCCUGUCCCCUUUGGACCCCUAAUCUAGAAUCCUAAAAUUUUACUUUUGCACCCGUGCCACACUUAAUUAUUUCUUAUAUCAAACACUCAGAGCUGGUAAUUCAUUCUGUAAGAUUGAAAACUCUUUUCCAUGGACAGAGAUCACAGCCAGUGUCUCUGGGGGCUCUGUCCAGGGGGGUUCCUGACCCCUGCCAGGGUCCCAGACCUGCCAGGGCAGCCAGAGGGAAGCCCUGGAUUCCCACAAUUGACCCCUUUUCCCUUCCCGUUUCAGCCUCACUGCAGCUCCAGGAGGUUGGAAAUGCCCAGAGAUCUCACUCUCCUCUUGACAGGGCACAGCCGUGGCACCUCCGCCCAACAGUGGUGCCUGUCACCACCUGGGCUCUGCUGGCGCCAGACAGACACCUGGAGAACCUCCUGUGGCCCCUUUCCAAGGAGUUUGGUCCCUCCAGCCCCUCCAAAUGGGAGGUUUCUGCUCGAGCAGGUGCUGCAGAGGCACCAGCCACCCCUCCUUGCAGUGGGCAGGAUGGAGAUCGUUGCUGUGUGCCAGAGUUCCCAGGGUGCCUGGGGAGGGAGGGAGGGAGGGUGCCAUUCCUGGUGCCAUUCCUGGUGCCAGCCCUGCUGGGGGAAGGCAGGCAGCCCCAUCCCUCUGGGGACCUUUCCCAGGGACACCCAGGCUGGGCGUGGUGGGGGCACCAAGGGCUGCAGGGGGCUGAUGGUCCCCAGCAUGGUGAUGAUGCUCCAUCUCC
ensembl:lncRNA